GGAAGUAAAAGUCGUAACAAGGUUUCCGUAGGUGAACCUGCGGAAGGAUCAUUAACGAGUUAGGGUCUUCUAGGCCCGACCUCCCAACCCUGUGUUUAAUUGACCCAACGUUGCUUCGGCGAGCCCGUCCCUUAGGGACCGCCGGAGGGCCAUAACCCGUCCUCUGGUCCGCGCUCGUCGGUGGCCAACCACAAACUCUUUGUUAAACGUACCAUCUAAGUCAAAAAUUUUAAUUAAAGCAAAACUUUCAACAACGGAUCUCUUGGUUCUGGCAUCGAUGAAGAACGCAGCGAAAUGCGAUAAGUAAUGCGAAUUGCAGAAUUCCAGUGAGUCAUCGAAUCUUUGAACGCACAUUGCGCCCUUUGGCAUUCCGAAGGGCAUGCCUGUUCGAGCGUCAUUAUCACCCCUCAAGCCCCCCUUCUUGAUUGAAGCCCGGCUUGGUGUUGGACGGCUUGGUGUCAGUAAUGUCACCCCUCCUAAAGACAAUGACGGCGGCUUCGUGAGACCCCCGGUACACUGAGUUCCUCACCGAACACGUACUGGAUCAUGGGUAGACGGAGCCCCGGUCGACCUCCCUUCACGGGGAGACUUCUUCUCAGGUUGACCUCGGAUCAGGUAGGAAUACCCGCUGAACUUAAGCAUAUCAAUAAGCGGAGGA
rnacentral:rRNA from 1 species